rnacentral:rRNA from 1 species
UACGGGGGGAGCAAGCGUUGUUCGGAUUUACUGGGCGUAAAGGGCGCGUAGGCGGUCGUGACAAGUCACUUGUGAAAUCUCCGGGCUUAACUCGGAAAGGUCAACUGAUACUGCGGGGCUAGAGUGCAGAAAGGGCAAUCGGAAUUCUUGGUGUAGCGGUGAAAUGCGUAGAUAUCAAGAGGAACACCUGAGGCGAAGGCGGGUGCUAGGCUGACACUGACGCUGAGGCGCGAAAGCGUGGGGAGCAAACGGG